rnacentral:rRNA from 1 species
AGUGAACGCUGGCGGUAGGCCUAACACAUGCAAGUCGAACGGCAGCACAGUAAGAGCUUGCUCUUACGGGUGGCGAGUGGCGGACGGGUGAGGAAUACAUCGGAAUCUACUUUUUCGUGGGGGAUAACGUAGGGAAACUUACGCUAAUACCGCAUACGACCUACGGGUGAAAGCAGGGGAUCUUCGGACCUUGCGCGAUUGAAUGAGCCGAUGUCGGAUUAGCUAGUUGGCGGGGUAAAGGCCCACCAAGGCGACGAUCCGUAGCUGGUCUGAGAGGAUGAGCGACCAGAGUGGGAGUGAGAAACGGACAGGACUCCUACGGGAGGCCGCAGUGGGGAGGAUUGGACAAUGGGCGCAAGCCUAAUCAAGCCAUACUGCGUGGGUGAAGAAGGCCGUCGGGUUGUAAAGCCCUUUUGUUGGGAAAGAAAAGCAGCAGGUUAAUACCCAGCUGUUCUGACGGCACCCAAAGAAAAAGCACAGGCUAACUUCGUG